rnacentral:ncRNA from 1 species
UGGUGUCAAGUGAGAAGGAUAAUAGAGAACCGGGUGAGAAUCCCGGACGGUACCGCCGCUGUAUGCGCUGAGGCCGAAGCUCGUUGACGAAAGUCAGUCACUGGGAAACUGGGAAGGCAGAGCUCGGACGCGGGAGCCAAAAGCUCCUUCAGGCGCGAGUCAGAAGACCUGCUUGAGGAGGA